rnacentral:rRNA from 1 species
UACGUGAGGGUGCAAGCGUUGUCCGGAAUUAUUGGGCGUAAAGAGCUCGUAGGUGGCCUGUCGCGUCGGCUGUGAAAACUCGGGGCUCAACUCCGAGCUUGCAGUCGAUACGGGCAGGCUAGAGUUCGGCAGGGGGAGACUGGAAUUCCUGGUGUAGCGGUGAAAUGCGCAGAUAUCAGGAGGAACACCGGUGGCGAAGGCGGGUCUCUGGGCCGAUACUGACACUGAGGAGCGAAAGCGUGGGGAGCGAACAGG